GGGAAGUUUUGAACACAGGGAAGCUGUAACAUUGUGUUCUUACUUUUCUCUCCCGUAAUUUUUACCAUCCAAAUCCAAUUUCCAAUCUUCCCUACAAUUUCUAUUCCUAUUAUUAUUAAUAUCUCAUUGCCACCAUCCAUCCAACCUUAACCACCACCGUUUCUCUUGUGCUCUCAAUCUUUUCUUAAUUUGAGUGGCUGCAAAGCCCCACGUGUUACCUCCUUCACGUUUUUGGUUGCCCCCUUUUUUUGUUCACCACUUUCUUUGUCCAAUAAUCCCUUUGGAGGUUUAGGGUUUUGAUUCUCUCAACAACUCUCGCUUAAUUUAAGGAUAUUUCAUUCUUUUCAAUAACUGCCAUGUCUAAGAGGGUUCUUUGUAAGUUCUUUGCUCAUGGAGCCUGUCUGAAAGGGGAGCAUUGUGAAUAUUCUCAUGACUGGAAAGAUCCUCCAAAUAAUAUAUGCACAUUUUAUCAGAAAGGAGUCUGUGCUUAUGGUAGUCGUUGCAGAUAUGAUCACAUCAAAGCUUCUCAAGCGCAAUCUUCCAUUCCAUCUUCUUCAGCAAUUGAACACCAUACUCUGGUUUCAGAUACUGGUGCUUUUGGAAAUAUUAUAACUACUUCAAAUGGUGUUGGUACGGCUGCAGACUUGUCUCUUUCCAGUAGUCCGUACAUUCUUCCUAGUGAACCGGCUUGGAAUCAUGAACUGGUUUGGAAUCCAGAAAUUGAGUAUUAUGAAAUUUUAGGGGAAGACAAUGUUGGUCAAUCCAUAAUCACUUCACCUUCUGAGCUUUCAAUUUGUUCAUUUGCUGCUGCUGGCAACUGUCCACGAGGGGAACAAUGUCCUCAUAUUCAUGGGGAUCUGUGUCCCACCUGUGGAAAGCAUUGCUUACAUCCUUUCAGACCUGAGGAAAGAGAAGAGCAUAUGAAGACUUGUGAAAGUAGGCAUAAGUAUCUUGAUGCACUGAAACGAAGUCAAGAAAUUGAAUGCAGUGUUUGCCUUGAGCGUGUUCUGUCAAAGCCUAUAUUAGCUGAGCGCAAGUUUGGGCUGCUAUCCGAAUGUGAUCAUCCAUUUUGCAUAUCCUGUAUUAGGAAUUGGCGGAGUAGUAACCCAACAUUGGGGAUGGAUGUUAAUAGUACAUUGAGGGCUUGUCCUAUUUGUCGUAAGUUAUCGUAUUUUGUCAUUCCAAGUGUCGUUUGGUACUCAACAACUGAAGAGAAACAAGAAAUCAUUGACAAAUACAAGGAAAAGCUCAAGUCAAUUGACUGCAAGCACUUUGACUUUGGGGAUGGUAACUGCCCUUUCGGAUCUAGUUGUUUCUACAAGCAUGCAUAUCGAGAUGGCCGUGUGGAGCAGGUAGUAUUGCGACAUCUAGGUGCUGCAGAUGGAAAUACCGUAAUUGCAAAAGAUAUCAGGUUGUCGGAUUUCCUUUCCAACAUGCAUUUAAGAUGAACGGAGAUACUUGCUAAAAAAAGGCAUCCUUCAAUGUCAAAAGUUAUUUUUAUAUUGCAAGUCAAGCUCCUCUUCUUGUUUCUAUGAUAGGUGCUUUUUCAGUAAACCCAUAUGCAAUUGAUAACCUCAAUAUUUUCUGAAAUAGGCACCAGAGAAAGAGGCUGCACACUUGGGCAUUCUGUCGUUGUAAUAAAGUGCAUGUGCUAUAAAUGGUAGUUGGACAUGGUACGAGGGUAUAAACUUAAAUAAAUUCAUUUUUAAAGCAUAUAAAUCGAAGUAUGGAUUGGUGGUGGUAUACUCUAUUAGAAGCAUGGUGGAAUGCACUCUUUUAUCCAUCAGUGAGACUUUUAGAACCAUUACUUUUUUCUGGUGGAUUUCAAAGUAAUAUGCAAAAAUUGAUUGGGGUGAUGAAGUUUUCCUGUUCUAUUAUUGAGAUCUUAAAGAGAUACAUUUCUGUUGUAUACUUGGAUUUCCUUGCUGUGGUUGGCACAGUACCAAGAAUCUUAGGAUAAAGGAUUCAACAUGUCUUGUAUUGGUUUUGUUAUUUUCUUUAGGAUUUUGUCAGAGCCCUUUUUGUGGCUUAUAUAGAUUCCUUUUUUUUUUUGUUUUU